rnacentral:tRNA from 1 species
UGGAAGUAGCUCAGCUGGUUCAGAGCACCUCGUUUACACCAAGUGGGGCGUCCCGAUUUCCAAUCGGGAUCAUUUCAUCCA